CCAGCCCGGUCGAGGCCCCGCCGGGCCCCGGCGGCGGCUCCGCCCGCACCGGAAGGGCAGCGGAGCCGCCCCGGCCGAGGGGAGGGGACAGCGGGGCGGGCGGGCGGCUCUUCGCGGCGCUCCCCCCACGGCGGUACCUGCGCUGGAAGUCGGUCCGGAAGGGCGUCAGCGUGUCAGCGGCAGGGUGAACUCUGCGUUCCCACAUUCACACACACAGACGCAGCACCCACCCCGCAGCCAACAGCACCACCACCGCCCCCAAAAGUGAUUUGGCAUUAUCGUGAGCGCUGGAAUAAAUUUCUCGGCUGGCGUGCUCACAGACAGCUCAGCAAAACAAGACUCGGGGCAUCCGUGAGUUUAUCUCGUAAACACCCCUGUCUGUACAGCAAAAAUGUCUCUUUACCGGACGCAUAAACCAAAUCCUGAACAAAGUCCUGAGCUUGGCAGUCUUCCUGAUGCAGAUGAGAGAGGGGGCUUGCUUUAGGACAAGUCUUCAGCCCCUGAGGUCUUCAUGAGAAGAACAAUGAUGUUGCUGUUGCAGGAUUCUAAUUCCUCAGUCUGGGCUGCACAUGGUUAAAAUACUGAACAACUCUUAAAAUCCAUGGUUUCUCUUUUGCUCGUUGACCUAUGGACUCCUUCAGCUCUCUCCUCAGUAACUCCUGUGUUGUCAUCUGAUUCAACACGUGCACAAGGAAAACUUAAAGAAUGAGCUGAGUCAUUCUCUAAAUCGGGACCAUCCUCCUCUGAACACAAAACCUUCCUCUGCAGCACUUAAGGUAGGUCAUGUGGCAUUGAUAUGCUUAAGGAAUUUAAAGUUGCAAGGAAGAAAAUUGAGCCACAUGUCAAUGGAUGAGAUUGGCUUUAUGGUUUCUUCAUGAUCUCAUUGCAUGUUGGUGAAGGGACAGGACUGUGAAAUAUGAGAUGCAAGUAUCAUCAAAAUGUGUCCCUGGUAUUGCAAGGAGUUGCAGAAGGAGCCAUUCCUUUUCUGCAAAAUGAAACAUGAGCAUUCAUAACUGUAAAAACCAAAACCACUGCCAUUAUGUUUCCUGUUUUUCUAAUGUCCUUUCUAUAGCAUGAAGUAUAGAUAUUCCUAUUAACAAUUUAAAAAAAACCCAAAAAUAAAAUAAAAAAAAAUACAAGCCAUCACCUCUUGUCUCUGUUUUUCUUAAAUCUAGAAAUGUUUUGCAAAUUUAACUUAAAAUGUUAGUCAAGUGCCUUGCCCUGGUUUUUCAUUUUUAGAAUAAACUGAAGUAUUUCAACUUUCAGUGUCUAUCCUGCUUGCUCCCGUUUGUAUGUUAGGGAUCAAUUUUUCAGAAACAUCAAGACCUCUUUCAACACUGACACAGCAGGGAACUGAGGUGGGUUCUGUUGUGUUUCUGUAGCAAAUUAAAUUCAUUUUAUUACCUGUUCAAUACUCUGAAACAUGAAAACAAGUAUUUUUCUAAGUUUGAAUCAGGUACAUUGUGCCUUUCAGGUUAAUGUAUUUUAAGUACUGCUUUGAGUCAAGUUUGCACAUUAACUGAAUGAGGUUUGAUUGGUUGUAUUCUCUUCAUUCUUUUCAAGAAAAGUCUUUUGCAUUUUAUAUUAGCUCUGUCACUAAAAAGUAUAAAAUCUUCUCUGAUAACUUUCCAUUGUGUUAGAGAAGAUUCAACAAAGCCUUUAAUUUCUUUUGUCUUACGUUGUAAACAGGGAUAGUUAAGGGGGAAAACAAAAAGUCUUCCAAGGAUAUGGUAUCUGCCUGUAAAAAUAAUACUGUCGUUUAUGGUUAGAGAUAACAUGCAGAGGUUAUAGCUGUGUGAGCUAUUUAAAAAUCAAAAGCAGCACAGUCAGAGCAUAGUUGUGUUUCGAGGGGCAGUACAUACAAGUUGUCCCUCAGGAACAUAUCGUUCUAAAGUGUGACCAAAUAUAAUUAUUUCAUGUGGUGCCACAUAAUUGAGAUGACUUGGAAUUCCCCCUCUUGUAACACUUUUGAUCUAUCUGCUAAGUUUGACAGGGUAAGGUUAAAUCUCCUUCUGCUAUCAUGUAUUGGAAAAUACUUCUGAUACUAAGAAUAACUCAUUAAAGGUGGAUGGAAAGUCUCCUUUUCUAAUGUACAUAUUAAUUACCAUAACCCUCAGUGAAUUUAUCUUUGCUGGCAGAAUAUCAUACCUUGCUGCUGUAUCUAAGAAACUUGAGUUUCUUGUUGAUUAAAACUGUCACUUGCCUGGAAUAACUAGAUCCAAUAAAGUAAAAACAUGGGAAGUGGA